UACGUAGGGGGCUAGCGUUGUCCGGAAUCAUUGGGCGUAAAGCGCGUGUAGGCGGUUCGGUAAGUCCGCUGUGAAAGUCGGGGGCUCAACCCUCGGAUGCCGGUGGAUACUGUCGGGCUUGAGUACGGAAGAGGCGAGUGGAAUUCCUGGUGUAGCGGUGAAAUGCGCAGAUAUCAGGAGGAACACCAAUGGCGAAGGCAGCACUCUGGGACGUGACUGACGCUGAGACGCGAAAGCGUGGGGAGCAAACAGG
rnacentral:rRNA from 1 species